UUUUCUCCAUAUCACUCCAAGACUUGCUCUCCAUCGGUCUCAAACUAAUAAUCCUCAUCUUCCUCUUCGUUGUCAUCAUCUUCCGACAUAAACUCGUCUUCAUCUAGUUCUCGCACAUUUAUACCUUCUAGGUAGAAGGACCUCAUCCGCUCCCAUUUUUUCCGAUUUUUCCCGACUUGUUCCGAUUUUUUGAUUUACUCCGACUGGGCGACUUUU
rnacentral:lncRNA from 1 species